UCCCGGUUUCCCGGGCAGUCCCACCAGAGUGCCUUACCAUAAAGGCAGUUGCAACUGGCAGCAAGGGUUGCGCUCGUUAAAGGACUUAACCCAACAUCUCACGACACGAGCUGACGACAGCCAUGCAGCACCUGUGUACCUGUCUGAGUAAACCCAGAAAGCCACAUCUCUGUGACGAUCAGGCACAUUUCAAACCCAGGUAAGGUUUCUCGCGUAGUGUCGAAUUAAACCACAUGUUCCACCGCUUGUGCGGACCCCCGUCAAUUCCUUUGAGUUUUAGUCUUGCGACCGUAAUCUUCAGGCGGAUCACUUAUCGCGUUAGCUUCGACACUCACCCAGCUAAGCCAGGCAAACAUCUAGUGAUCAUCGUUUACGGCGUGGACUAC
rnacentral:misc_RNA from 1 species